AUUACCAUGUAGUGGGGUGGAGCCCACAACUUGACCUCUGCUUUGCUGGCUUCAAGCGCUCUAUUGUUAGUCUUUUAUAGGGCUUGUCUGCCAAGUCAAGAGAGGGAAAGAUAGAGAAGAAGAGUCAUAUACUCAGAGAGAGAGAGAGAGAGGGGUUCAAGUUGGGCCAUUCUUUUAACGAAGACUCACUUUUUCUGGAAGCAGACCUCCAUUUUUCACUUCCCUUUUGUGUUCUUCUUCAACAAUCUUAUCAUCUACAAAAGCACUAGCGGAAAUUACACAAUAACCAUUUUUAUUUUCUUCCUUUCUUUGAUUUUGAUGGAUCCACAGAUCUAAUACUUUGAUACCCACAUGAAAUUCUCCUUCGACUUUAAAAGUUAGUGCCUUUCAAGAACUAGUCAAAUUUCAAGUGCAUCUAGAGAAGGAUACAAUUUUCUGCUGGGUUUCUGGGACAGUUUGUUUUGGGUGCUUAUUAAAUGUGGAUAUUCGGAGGUUUCUUUGGAUGAGAUGAGGGAUGUUAUCUGGGUUGAUGAACUUUUUGAGAGCCUGUUUUCGGCCAAGGUCCGAUCGAUAUGUGCACAGCAAUUCGGAUAGCAGUGGUCGCCAAGAUGGGCUGUUGUGGUACAAGGACCAUGGGCAGCAUUUUUAUGGUGAAUUUUCAAUGGCAGUAGUGCAGGCCAAUAAUUUACUUGAAGAUCAGAGCCAGAUUGAGUCAGGCAAUUUGAGCUUACACGAGUCUGGCCCUUACGGUACCUUUGUUGGAGUUUAUGAUGGACAUGGGGGACCUGAGACAUCGCGUUAUAUCAAUGAUCAUCUGUUCCAGCACCUCAAGAGGUUUAGUACAGAGCAACAGACGAUGUCCGUGGAUGUGAUACGGAAGGCAUAUCAAGCAACAGAAGAGGGUUUUCUCUCUCUUGUAACAAAACAAUGGCCUAUGAAACCACAAAUUGCAGCAGUUGGAUCAUGUUGUCUGGUUGGUGUUGUCAGUGGUGGAAUCCUUUACAUUGCCAACCUUGGUGAUUCCCGUGCUGUCUUGGGAAGAGCUGUGAAGGCAACAGGAGAAGUGUUGUCCAUUCAGCUCUCAUCUGAGCACAAUGCUAGUAUAGAGUCUGUGAGACAGGAGCUGCAAUCUUUGCACCCUGAUGAUUCACAGAUUGUAGUUUUAAAACAUAAUGUAUGGCGUGUAAAAGGACUCAUACAGAUCUCCAGAUCUAUUGGUGAUGUGUAUUUGAAAAAGGCCGAGUUCAACAGAGAGCCUUUAUAUGCCAAGUUCCGUCUUCGUGAACCUUUCAAAAAGCCAAUAUUAAGCUCAGAACCAUCAAUCUCGGUGCACCAACUGCAGCCACACGAUCAGUUUAUUAUAUUUGCAUCUGAUGGCCUUUGGGAGCAUCUUAGCAAUCAAGAAGCAGUUGAUAUAGUACAAAAUCAUCCACGCAGUGGAAGUGCUAGGAGACUGGUGAAAGCUGCUCUGCAAGAAGCAGCAAAGAAGAGAGAAAUGAGGUAUUCGGACUUGAAGAAGAUUGACCGUGGUGUCAGACGGCAUUUCCAUGAUGAUAUCACUGUGAUUGUUGUGUUCCUUGACUCGAAUCUUGUAAGCAGAGCAAGUUCUGUCAAGGGCUCAAAUAUAUCUGUGAGAGGGGGUGGAAUCAGUCUGCCUCCAAACACACUGGCUCCAUGUACGACGCCAACAGAAGCUGGCAGUGCCUGAUGAAAGUUGUAUCUCCUAUUUUUGUCUCUUGUAUUAUGCUCAUGUGAAUACCAGGUAGCUUCCAGAAGAGAUAGAGGAGGCACCCUUCAAUUCUUUAAUGUACACUGUAACUUUUAACUGGGAACUGAUACUUGCGUUUAGCUUCUGUGCCAAAAAACUAGUACCAGAGAAGUACAAGGUGGCUACUAUUAUAGUUAUUUCUUGGGAAGUUCUCUGCCCUUUUAUCUUUUUUUUUUUCCACCUUUGUUGGUGUUUUUGAUUGUUGCUAAUUGUACAACCAGGCAAAUUAAGUUCCUCUUCCUCUAUUGAUCUUAAUGUUAUUACCGGAGCUAAUGUGUAGUAAAGUUUCAUCUGUAGUUGUGUGGGGCAGGUUCUUGCAUAGAGUUGUGAUGGAGACGUGGUAUGUUGGAAGGAGCUCUAUUAGGGAAACAAUGUCCUGAGACAAUGCAUAAUGUUGUUCUCAUUUAAUUCAGGCUAAAUAAAACAGUAACAGCAUAUCGAAAACGGUAUAAUUUACCACGAGGCGGGAGGU
rnacentral:misc_RNA from 1 species